rnacentral:rRNA from 1 species
UACGGAGGGUGCGAGCGUUGUCCGGAAUCAUUGGGCGUAAAGGGCGCGUAGGUGGCGUGGUAAGUCUGUGGUGAAAGCGCGGGGCUCAACCCCGCGUCGGCCGUGGAUACUGCUAUGCUAGAGCACUGUAGAGGCAGGCGGAAUUCCGGGUGUAGCGGUGGAAUGCGUAGAUAUCGAGAGGAACACCUGCGGCGAAGGCGGGUUGCUGGGCUGACACUGACGCUGAGGCGCGAAAGCCAGGGGAGCGAACGGG